rnacentral:rRNA from 1 species
UAACAAGGAUUCCCCUAGUAACUGCGAGUGAAGCGGGAAAAGCUCAAAUUUAAAAUCUGGUGGUCUUUGGCCAUCCGAGUUGUAGUCUGGAGAAGUGUUUUCCGCGCUGGACCGUGUACAAGUCUCUUGGAAUAGAGCGUCAUAGAGGGUGAGAAUCCCGUCUUUGACACGGACUACCAGUGCUUUGUGAUGCGCUCUCAAAGAGUCGAGUUGUUUGGGAAUGCAGCUCAAAAUGGGAGGUAAAUUCCUUCUAAAGCUAAAUAUUGGCGAGAGACCGAUAGCGAACAAGUACCGUGAGGGAAAGAUGAAAAGCACUUUGGAAAGAGAGUUAAACAGUACGUGAAAUUGCUAAAAGGGAAACGAUUGAAGUCAGUCGCGUCAUUCAGAACUCAGCCUGGCUUUUGCUUGGUGCAUUUUCUGUUUGACGGGCCAGCAUCAAUUUUGACCGUUGGAUAAAGGCUUUGGGAAUGUGGCAUCUUCGGAUGUGUUAUAGCCCAUUGUUGCAUACACCGGUUGGGAUUGAGGAUCACAGCAUGCCUUUAUGGUCGGGGUUCGCCCACGUUCAUGCUUAGGAUGCUGGCGU